rnacentral:rRNA from 1 species
AUGGAUGAGUUCAUCACCACCACUCUGCUCCGUCCAUCAUAUGUUGAACCAUUGUGGGAAGCAAGCAUGUCAGAUUCCCUUGCCCAUGAGUCCUGCGACAUUGCAGAAUGGUGGCCAUGGCCAGGCCCAGGCAUCUCCAUGCAAUUCUGCGGAGUCUACAGAAUGCCGCUGAACUCCUUGUAUGGCCCAGAAGACUUACUGACCAAGAUUACGGUGAAGCAUAGAUAUUACGCAGAACCAGUAGUAAGUUCCAGCAGAAGAUCAAUUCAACUUCCUGCAGUUGACGGAAAUGAAAUGGGCUGA